rnacentral:rRNA from 1 species
UACGGAGGGAGCUAGCGUUGUUCGGAAUUACUGGGCGUAAAGCGCACGUAGGCGGCUUUGUAAGUUAGAGGUGAAAGCCCGGGGCUCAACUCCGGAACUGCCUUUAAGACUGCAUCGCUUGAAUCCAGGAGAGGUGAGUGGAAUUCCGAGUGUAGAGGUGAAAUUCGUAGAUAUUCGGAAGAACACCAGUGGCGAAGGCGGCUCACUGGACUGGUAUUGACGCGUGA